UGAUGAAGGUUUUCGGAUCGUAAAGCUCUGUUGUUAGGGAAGAACAAGUACCGUUCGAAUAGGGCGGUACCUUGACGGUACCUAACCAGAAAGCCACGGCUAACUACGUGCCAGCAGCCGCGGUAAUACGUAGGUGGCAAGCGUUGUCCGGAAUUAUUGGGCGUAAAGGGCUCGCAGGCGGUUUCUUAAGUCUGAUGUGAAAGCCCCCGGCUCAACCGGGGAGGGUCAUUGGAAACUGGGGAACUUGAGUGCAGAAGAGGAGAGUGGAAUUCCACGUGUAGCGGUGAAAUGCGUAGAGAUGUGGAGGAACACCAGUGGCGAAGGCGACUCUCUGGUCUGUAACUGACGCUGAGGAGCGAAAGCGUGGGGAGCGAACAGGAUUAGAUACCCUGGUAGUCCACGCCGUAAACGAUGAGUGCUAAGUGUUAGGGGGUUUCCGCCCCUUAGUGCUGCAGCUAACGCAUUAAGCACUCCGCCCUGGGGGAG
rnacentral:rRNA from 1 species